AGGCCGGCCUGAGAGGGCGACCGGCCACACUGGGACUGAGACACGGCCCAGACUCCUACGGGAGGCAGCAGUGGGGAAUAUUGCACAAUGGGCGAAAGCCUGAUGCAGCGACGCCGCGUGAGGGAUGACGGCCUUCGGGUUGUAAACCUCUUUCAGCAGGGAAGAAGCGAGAGUGACGGUACCUGCAGAAGAAGCGCCGGCUAACUACGUGCCAGCAGCCGCGGUAAUACGUAGGGCGCAAGCGUGGUCCGGAAUUAUUGGGCGUAAAGAGCUCGUAGGCGGCUUGUCACGUCGGUUGUGAAAGCCCGGGGCUUAACCCCGGGUCUGCAGUCGAUACGGGCAGGCUAGAGUUCGGUAGGGGAGAUCGGAAUUCCUGGUGUAGCGGUGAAAUGCGCAGAUAUCAGGAGGAACACCGGUGGCGAAGGCGGAUCUCUGGGCCGAUACUGACGCUGAGGAGCGAAAGCGUGGGGAGCGAACAGGAUUAGAUACCCUGGUAGUCCACGCCGUAAACGGUGGGCACUAGGUGUGGGCAACAUUCCACGUUGUCCGUGCCGCAGCUAACGCAUUAAGUGCCCCGCCUGGGGAGUACGGA
rnacentral:rRNA from 1 species